GGAAGUAAAAGUCGUAUCAAGGUCUCCGUUGGUGAACCAGCGGAGGGAUCAUUACCGAGUGCAAACUCAUAACCCUUUGUGAACCUAUAUCUGUUGCUUCGGCGGCUCGCUCUCGGGCGAGCCCGCCGGUAAUAUCAGUAUCUCUGUUUGAACCCGACGAUACUUCUGAGUGUUCUUAGCGAACAGUUAAAACUUUUAACAACGGAUCUCUUGGCUCUA
rnacentral:misc_RNA from 1 species